CGCGAAGGUAGAAUUCGUAGUUUGUCGCAAACAAGCAAUCAUCUAAACCGAUCAAUAUGUUCAAGUUUCUAAUUGUCGUUCUCGCUCUUUUCGCCGUUGCCAUGGCAGAUCCCGAGCCGAAACCGGAAGCCAAGCCGCAAUUCUUCUACGGUGCAUACAACGCUUAUCCCUAUGCCUACUCUGGAUACUACGGCUACGCUCCUUAUGGCUAUGGCUACGGAUACUACGGAAACCACUACAACGGCCUUUACAACAGAUUCUUGUAUUAAAUUGCAUUUGAAUAAAUAAACACCUUCAAAUCGUA